rnacentral:rRNA from 1 species
UACGAGGGGGGCAAAUGUUGUUCGGAAUCACUGGGCGUAAAGGGAGCGUAGGCGGGUUCUUAAGUAAGGUGUUUAAUCCCGGGGCCCAACCCCGGACCGGCACUUUAAACUGGGAAUCUUGAAUAGUGGAGAGGUCGGUGGAAUUGGAGGUGUAGCGGUGGGAUGCGUAGAGAUCUCCAAGAACACCAGUUGCGAAGGCGGCCGACUGGACACAUAUUGACGCUGAGGCUCGAAAGCAUGGGGAGCAAACAGG